rnacentral:rRNA from 1 species
UGCCAGCAGCCGCGGUAAUACGAAGGGACCUAGCGUAGUUCGGAAUUACUGGGCUUAAAGAGUUCGUAGGUGGUUAAAAAAGUUGGUGGUGAAAUCCCAGAGCUUAACUCUGGAACUGCCAUCAAAACUUUUUAGCUAGAGUGUGAUAGAGGUAAGUGGAAUUUCUAGUGUAGAGGUGAAAUUCGUAGAUAUUAGAAAGAACACCAAAUGCGAAGGCGACUUCCUGGCCCAAUACUGACGCUGAUGUGCGAAAGCGUGGGGAGCAAACAGGAUUAGAUA